CGGAUUUCAGGAAGGCGCGCCCGUUUCCAGUGGCGACGGCAGCCCUUGCAGGUGGCAUAGCAAUUCUUGCUUUUGUCGUAAGGACCUCUAUCAAAAUGUUUCAAAACGUCGUCAACUGGCCUUCCACCCUUCUUCUGAGCAGAAACACAGUCAAUCUCUAUGACUUCGGCACCCCCCAGGUCGGAGCCAGUGGUUGUUGACAUUUGACUUAAUCUAAUAACUCCUUAGUGUAAAACGCAGUCUUUAAAUGGCAAACGCAUGCCUGGAAUCUGCUUUUGAAUUUCCGCCGUACAGCAAAUGCGGAAAUGCGGAUUCUCUUUCCGCAUUUCCGCCAAUCUGGGCUUCGCUGCGGAAAGCGUGACGAAACCUAUUUACGCAGGUUUCCGUUUACGCAGGUUUCCGUUUCGGCUCGUUCCCUGGUUACCGGCCGCCUUCCACCCGAAACCAUUUAGAUUGACGCUAAAAUAUCUUUCGAGUUUUUGCAAAAACAACUUCGGGUGGCUGCACUGGGGCCCUGGAAGCCGUGCUUCGCACGGAAUCAAAACCAUUUGGAUCACUACGGGGUACCUCAAUUUCCUCUGUAGGGCAAAGUAAAAAAUUCUCUAAAAUGUCUACUGGGACUCUGUUUUCGGUCACCGACUUGGGGGUCACCGACCUCUGCCAGCAGGGUCAGGCAUGCAAAAUGGAUGCAACACAACCAUGUGCACGCGAUAUGGGUCCUGUAACGCCGCUAAGGCGGCCCUUGGCUCACCGGGCCAACGGUAUCGUACCAACGGUACAUCCAAGAACUAUUCAUAAUCUUCCAAUACCAAACGGUAUUUAUCAAUACCACCUUUUAUCGUUGGAUAAUUUCCUUUUUCGCAACUGCUUGCCAACUGCAAGCUUUGUUACAAUUUUGGUAUCUGAGACCAACCGGUCAAACGACCUCGGAGUCAAGCACUCCAUCGCUUCCGCAAACACAUUCCAACUUAAGAAACAUUUUCUAUCUGACUUACAUGGCGAGCCCAGGGAAUACCAUGCGCACCCAGUCGGCGAAGGUCCAGCAAGCUGCAGCUCACGAAGGACUUUCUCCACCAAGUUUGCCGAUGCCCGUGAAGGGAACUACCCAAGCUAGCGCCACCAGCAGCUCAGUGCGCUAUCGAGAAAGCUUGCACAUCCGAUUUACUCUCAGCCACAAAGACUAGAAACACCGUUCUAAAGUCACUAUACAAACAACGCCUAUAUUAG
rnacentral:lncRNA from 1 species